GGGAUUGUGGCUCAGUGGUAAAGUGCAUGCCUAGCAUGCAUGAGACACUGAGUUCAAUCCCC
rnacentral:tRNA from 1 species